AGCGAACGCUGGCGGCAGGCCUAACACAUGCAAGUCGAACGGACCCUUCGGGGUUAGUGGCGGACGGGUGAGUAACACGUGGGAACGUGCCUUUAGGUUCGGAAUAGCUCCUGGAAACGGGUGGUAAUGCCGAAUGUGCCCUUCGGGGGAAAGAUUUAUCGCCUUUAGAGCGGCCCGCGUCUGAUUAGCUAGUUGGUGAGGUAAUGGCUCGCCAAGGCGACGAUCAGUAGCUGGUCUGAGAGGAUGACCAGCCACACUGGGACUGAGACACGGCCCAGACUCCUACGGGAGGCAGCAGUGGGGAAUCUUGCGCAAUGGGCGAAAGCCUGACGCAGCCAUGCCGCGUGAAUGAUGAAGGUCUUAGGAUUGUAAAAUCCUUUCACCGGGGACGAUAAUGACGGUACCCGGAGAAGAAGCCCCGGCUAACUUCGUGCCAGCCGCCGCCGUA
rnacentral:rRNA from 1 species